rnacentral:misc_RNA from 1 species
GAAAUGCGAAAAGUAAUGUGAAUUGCAGAAUUCAGUGAAUCAUCGAAUCUUUGAACGCAUCUUGCGGUCUCUGGCAUUCCGGGGACCAUGCUUGUUUCAGUAUCAGUUUUUAUGAAAAGAGCAGCUCUGUUAAGGUGGUGUUCUGUUAUUGAGUUUUCUUUAUCUCUAGCACGCUUUUGUGUGCACAUGAGAUUGAGUGGCUUUGAACGUAUAAGGCAGUUAGGGACAAAUGGCCCUUGGUGUAAUAAAUGUUUAUUCACUCUGCGGUUGUCGUUACGCCAAUCAACAAUAUUUAUCAUUAAUAUUAUGAAAAUGAUCUGAAAUCAAGCAAGAUUACCCGCUGAACUUAA